rnacentral:rRNA from 1 species
GGACGGGUGAGUAAUACAUAAGUAACCUGCCCUAGACAGGGGGAUAACUAUUGGAAACGAUAGCUAAGACCGCAUAGGUACGGACACUGCAUGGUGACCGUAUUAAAAGUGCCUCAAAGCACUGGUAGAGGAUGGACUUAUGGCGCAUUAGCUGGUUGGCGGGGUAACGGCCCACCAAGGCGACGAUGCGUAGCCGACCUGAGAGGGUGACCGGCCACACUGGGACUGAGACACGGCCCAGACUCCUACGGGAGGCAGCAUG